rnacentral:rRNA from 1 species
AUUGAACGCUGGCGGCAUGCUUUACACAUGCAAGUCGAACGGCAGCGCGGGCUUCGGCCUGGCGGCGAGUGGCGAACGGGUGAGUAAUACAUCGGAACGUGCCCAGUAGUGGGGGAUAGCUCGGCGAAAGCCGGAUUAAUACCGCAUACGACCUGAGGGUGAAAGCGGGGGAUCUUCGGACCUCGCGCUAUUGGAGCGGCCGAUGGCAGAUUAGCUAAUUGGUGGGGUAAAGGCCUACCAAGGCGACGAUCUGUAGCUGGUCUGAGAGGACGACCAGCCACACUGGGACUGAGACACGGCCCAGACUCCUACGGGAGGCAGCAGUGGGGAAUUUUGGACAAUGGGCGAAAGCCUGAUCCAGCAAUGCCGCGUGUGUGAUGAAGGCCUUCGGGUUGUAAAGCACUUUUGGCGGGAACGAAAAGGACUGUGCCAAUACCACGGUUCGAUGACGGUACCCGCAGAAUAAGCACCGGCUAACUACGUG